rnacentral:lncRNA from 1 species
AAGUACCUGUGAGGUGUAUGGCCCAGAGACAUGCACUCACUGAAAGACUAAGGCCUAAUCGUAGAAAUAUAGACUGCUUCCCUCCCCCUAUACCUUACCACUGUACCACCAAAAGCCUAUUUAUCACCAUGUUUUUAUCUACUAUAUCAUGUCUGGCUCUCAAAAAAUUAAAAGACAUACUAAAAGGCCAAGAGAUAGUGCAAGCAUCAGAUCCAAAUUCAGAUGUCACAGGGAUGUUGGAAUUAUCAGAUUGAGAAUUGAAAACAACUAUUAUUAUGAUGAUAAGGGGCUAAAGGAAAAGUAGACAACAUAUAAGAAGAGAUAGAUAAUAUAAGCAGAAAUAUUAAACUUCUUAGAAAUAAACAAAAAUAAAUGCUAGAGAAAAAAAGAAAUGAAGAAUGUCCUUGGUGGGAUAAUUAGUAGAAUGGGCACAGGUAAGGGAAAGGAUCUCUGAGCUUUUAUAUAUGACUGUAACAGACACUUCCAAAACUGAAUAGUGAAAGAAAAAGACUAAGAAAAUGGAACAUGAUAUCCAAGAACUAUAGGACAUAUUUUUAAAAUGUAGCAUAAGACUAAUAGGAAUAAAAGAAGGAGAGUAGGCAUUCCCAUCAUGAUGCAGCAGAAACAAAUUCAACUAGGAACCAUGAGGUUGUGGGUUCAAUCCCUGGCCUUGCUCAGUGGGUUAAGGAUCCGGUGUUGCCAUGAGCUGUGGUGUAGGUUGCAGACACAGCUCAGAUCUGGUGUUGCUAUGGCUAUGGUGUAGGCCAGCAGCUGUAGCUCCAAUUAGACCCCAAGCCUGGGAACCUCCAUAUGCAGUGGGUGCAGCCCUGAAAAGACAAAAUAUAAAAAAAGAAGAUAUUUUUGAAACAAUAGUGAAGAAAAAUGAAGGAGAAUUAAUGUCACACUUUAAUUCAAUAGAUCCAGGAAGCUCAUCUAUUCCAAAGGGGGAUAUGCCAAAAAAUCUACACCUAAGUAUAGAAUAUUCAAAGUGUGGAAAAUCAAAGAUACAGAAAAAAUCUUGAAAGAAGCCAGAGGAAUAAUAUAUCUUACCUAUAUAGGAGAAAAAGAGAGAAUGAAUUACAUCUUAUUUCUCCUCAAAAAACAUGCAAGCAAGUGGAAUGAAAUAGUUAAAGUGCUUAGAGGAAAAAUAACACACAAACCAAAAAUUCUGUAUACUGCAACAUCUCACACAAAUAAAAAUUGAGAAACUCUGUUGCCAGUACACCUGUCUUGCAAGAAAUGUUGAAAGAUGCCCUUCAGAGAGAACAAAAAUUAUAUAUGUCAGAAACUCAGGUCUAUAUAAAGAAAGAGGACUGGAGAAGAAAUAAAAGAAAACUUUUUUUAUUCUUAAUUGAGAUAAUGGAUAAUAGUCUGUAUAAAAUAAUAGCAUUAAAAUCAAUUUUGUAUGCUCAUAUGUAUUAUAUACGUAUAUAUGUUUAUGUGUAAGUGAAAUGAAUGAUAGCAAUGAUAUAAAAAAUGGGAGGAUAGAAUUAAGAAUAUUUUAAUUGACAAAAGGGAGUAUAAUUGACAUGCCAAGAAAGAAAAGUAAAUAGAAUAUAAAAUUUUCAAUUAAGCCCCACAAAAGGCAAAAAAGAGUAAAUAUAGAAAGACAAAUAUAAGAGUAAAGAACAAAGGCAACAAAUAGAAAACAAUAGUAGAUAUGAUAAAUAUAAUGCUGAUAUAUCAAUAAUCAUAUUAAUAUUAUUGGUCUAAAUACAGCUAUUAAAAGACAAAGAUUGUGAGAAUGGGCCAAAAAGAAGACCCAGAUAUAUACACCAAACAACAGAUCAUCAAAGUAUACAAGGAAAAAACUGAUAGAACUGCAAGGAGAAAUAAAAAAAUCCAUUAUUAUAGUUGGAGAUUUUGACAUCCCACUAUCAGAAAUGAACUGAUCCAGAAGGCUGAAAAUCAGGAGACACAUAGUUGAAUGCCACGGCACCUACAAUCAGCUGAACUUAAUUGACACUAAAGAUGACUUCAUCCAACAACAGCAGAAUACACACUUAUUUCAAACUUAUAUGGAACAUUCACCAAUAUAGACCACAUUCAGAGCCAUAAAACAUACUAAAUAUAUAUACAUUUCAUAUAUUUAUUUUAGGGCCACACCUGUGGCAUAUGGAAGUUCCUGGGUUAGGGGUCAAAUUGAAGCUGCAACUGAUGGCUCAUGCCACAGACACAGCUACUACAGAUCCAAGCCACAUCUGCAACGUACACCACAGCUCCUGGCAAUGCCAGAUCCUAACCUACUGAGCAAGGCCAAGGAUCAAACCCACAUCCUCAUGAAUACUAGCCAGGUCCAAUACUGUUGAACCACAAUGGAAACUCCCACCUUAGAUAUUUUAAAAUAAUAUAAAUACUAUGUCUGCUUUCAAUCACAGUGGAGUUCAACCAAGAAUCAAUAACAUAAAGACAGGUGGGAAAUCCCUAAAUACUUGGAGUUUCAACAACACAGUUCUAAAUAACACAUAAGUCAAAGAACUCUGAAGAAAAAUUCUUAAAAUUUUUGAAAUAAAGAAAUAUGAAAAGAAACCAAAAUUUGCGGUAUGCAUUGAGAGCAGUGCUUAGAGGAAAAUUUAUGUCACCGCAUGCAUAUCUUAGAAAAGUAGAAAGGUCUAAAAUCAAUAAUCUCAGAUUUCUCUGGUGGCUCAGUGAGUUAAGGAUCCAGCUGUGCCUGGGGUCACUGCUGUGGCACAGGUUUGAUUCCUGGCUCCAGAAAACUUUCACAUCCCUCACUCAGUCAAAGCCAAAAAAUAUUUUAAAAAGAUAAAAUCAAUAAUCUAAGCUUCCACCUUCAGAAAGCAGGAAGAUGAGGUAUAUAUACAGAAUGGAAUACUACUCAGCCAUAAAAAAGAAUGAGAUAAUGCCAUUUGCAGCAACAUGGAUGGAACUAGAGACUCUCAUACUGUGUGAAAAAUGUCAGAAAGAAAAAGACAAAUACCAUAUGAUAUCACUUAUAACUGGAAUCUAGUGUACAGCACAAAUGAACCUUUCCACAGAAAAGAAAAUCACAGACUUGGAGGCUGCCUGGGGGAAGAGGGAGGGUGUGGGAGGGAUUGGGAGCUUGCAGUUAAUGGCUGCAAACUAUUGCUCUUGGAAUGGGUUUACAAUGAGAUCCUGCUGUGUGGCAUUGAGAACUAUAUCUAGAUACUUACAUUGCAACAAAACAACGGGAGGAAAAAGUAUGUAUGCAUGUAUGUGUAACUUGGUUCCCAUGCUGUACAGUGGAAAAAAAUAAAUAAAAUAAAAUAAAAUAGAACCUAAAAAAGAAAAGAAAUCGGAAAACAAAUCCAAAGUAAAUAGAAAAAAAUAAAUUAUAAAAAUUAGAGCAGAAACCAAUGAUAGUGACAAAGAAGGAAAUCAAUACAGUAAUUUUUUUAAAAAAGCUGGUUCUUUGAAAGCAUUAUUAAAGUAAACAAGCCUCUAAUAAGACUCAGGGAUAAAAGAUAAGAAUUACUAGCAGAAAUGAAAGAAUAUACAUCAUUUCAGAUCAUAUGGAUGGAAAAAUAAUGGAAUAUCAUAAACAACUCUAUGCUCACAACCUAGCUGAAAUGGACCAAUUCCUUGAAAGACACAAUCUAACAAAAUUUAUGCAAGAGAAAAGAGACUAUUUGAAUAUCUAAAUCUAUUAAAUAAGUUGAAUCAAUAAUUAAUAAGGUUUCAAAAUAACACCAGUUACAAUUGGCUUCACAGGUAAAUUUUACCAAAUGUUUAAGGAAAGAACUAUACCAAUUCUCUAUAAUCUCUUCUGGAGUAUAGAGGCAGAGGUAAUACCUCCUAACUCAUUCUAUGAGGCCAGCAUUGUCUUAAUAUCAAAACCAGUAAAAGACAUUAUAAAAAAUUAAAACUGGUGAUAAUCUCUCAUAAACAAAUAUGCAAAAAUUUUCCAUUAAAAUCAAUAAUGUAGUAAAGAAAGUAUGCACAACUAAGUAAGAUUUUUUCCAGAUACACACACCUAGUUCAAGAUUGGAAGAGCAAUUAAAGUACAGGCCUACCUCAUUUUAUUGUGCUUCAUUUUAUUGUGCUUUGAAGACAGUACGUGGAAGCCCUGGGUCAAACAAGUCUACUGGCAUUAUUUUUCCAACAGCAUUUACUACUCACUUUGUGUCUCUGUGUCACAUUUUGGUAAUUUUUAUAAUAUUUCCUACUUUUUCAUUAUUACAUUUGUUAUGGUGGUCUGCUAUCAGCUAUCUUUAAUGUUACUAUUCUAAUUGUUUGAAGUGUCAUGAAUCAUGCUUGUAUAACCUGGCAGACAAUAAAUGGAGUGUGUGUUCUAACUACUCCACCAACAGGACAUUCCCCCAUUUCUCUUCCUCUCUUUAGACCUCCCUAUUCCCUGAGACACAACAAUAUUGAAAUCAGACCAAUUUAAUAACCCACAAUGACCUCUAAGUGUUCAAGUGAAAGAGUCACACGUCUCUGACUUUAAAUAAAAAGCUAGAAAUUAUUAAGCUUUGUGAGGAAGGUACGUCAAUAGCCAAGACAGACUGAAAGCUCGGCUUCUUGUGAAAAAAAAUUAGCCAAGUUGUGAAUGCAAAUGAAAAGCUCUUGAAGACAAUUAAAGAACCAUAACUUUCUUUAAUUCUAUGAAGGCUGAGAGAAGUGAGAAUGCUGCAAAAGAAAAGUUUGGACAGCAGAGGUUGGUUCAUGUGGUUUAAGGAUAGAAGCUAUCUCCAUAACAUGAAAACCCAAAGUGAAACAGCAAGUGCUGAUGUAGAAGCUGCAGCAAGUUAUUUGAAAAUCUAUCUGAGAUAAUGAAGAGAGGUGGCUACACUCAAAAAUAGAUAUUAAAUGUUGAUGAAACACCUUAUGUUGGAAGAAGGUUCCAUCUAGAACUUUCAUAGCUAGAGAGGAGAAGUCAAUGCCUGGCUUUCAAAGCUUCAGAGGAUAGACUGACCCUCUUAUUAGGUGCUAAUGCAACCUGGUGACUU